CGCCUCUUGAUUAAACCAUAAGAGGUCCAGCCUGCCCAGUGACAUUGUUCAACGGCCGCGGUAUCCUAACCGUGCGAAGGUAGCGUAAUCACUUGUCCCUUAAAUGGGGACUAGUAUGAAUGGCCCCACGAAAGCUAUACUGUCUCCUUUUUCCAAUCAGUUAAACUAAUCUUCCCGUGAAGAAGCGGGAAUAAAUACACAAGACGAGAAGACCCUAUGGAGCUUUAAACAAUUGAAACACUUGCAUGUCUUACUUUAUUAAACCUACAUUAAACCUCACAUUUUGUUUCUAGUUUUAGGUUGGGGUGACCGCGGAGAAUAAACUAACCUCCACGCCGAAAAGAGACAUCUCUAAACAAAAAGCCACAUCUUUAUGUAUUAAUAUAUUAACCUUUAUUGACCCAAUUUAUUGAUCAACGAACCAAGUUACCCUAGGGAUAACAGCGCAAUCCAUUUCAAGAGCUCUUAUCGACAAAUGGGUUUACGACCUCGAUGUUGGAUCAGGGUAUCCCAGUGGUGCAGCCGCUACUAAUGGUUCGUUUGUUCAACGAUUAAAACCCU
rnacentral:rRNA from 1 species